AGUUGGACAGGGAGAGAAGGGAGGAGGAGGCAAAUCGAGAGAAUGGAGAGCUCCCAGAAAAUUCUAGCAGCAAAGAAAAAGAAGCCGCCUCCUUAGCCUCAGCCUCAAAACAACCAUCAGCCAAAGCCAUAGCUGCAGCC
rnacentral:sRNA from 1 species